rnacentral:tRNA from 1 species
ACCAGGGUGGCUGAGUGGUUAAGGCAUUGGAUUUAAGAUCCAAUGGUUAAAUGUCCUUGUGCACUCAAAUCCCACUCCUGGUA